rnacentral:SRP_RNA from 1 species
UCCGGAAGACUGGCGGGCAUAUCUAUCGCCAAUCCGGCCAGGGCCGAGAGGCAGCAACCGUAACGAAUUCUGAUAUGGGUCGUUCAGUCUUCCACCUCC